UACGUAGGGUGCAAGCGUUGUCCGGAAUUAUUGGGCGUAAAGGGCUCGUAGGCGGUCCAUCGCGUCGGGAGUGAAAAGCUGGGGCUUAACCCCGGGUCUGCAUUCGAUACGGGCUAGCUAGAGUGUGGUAGGGGAGAUCGGAAUUCCUGGUGUAGCGGUGAAAUGCGCAGAUAUCAGGAGGAACACCGGUGGCGAAGGCGGAUCUCUGGGCCAUUACUGACGCUGAGGAGCGAAAGCGUGGGGAGCGAACAGG
rnacentral:rRNA from 1 species